GGAGGGCAAGUCUGGUGCCAGCAGCCGCGGUAAUUCCAGCUCCAAUAGCGUAUAUUAAAGUUGUUGUGGUUAAAAAGCUCGUAGUUGGAUCUCGGCGGACAGGAGUCGGUCCGAAUGCUUUCGGUACUGGCUUAUUUGUCCGUGUGUUUUGCCAGAGGCAGGCGGGUGCUCUUCGCCGAGUGUCCGUUUGCGCUGGCAGGUUUACUUUGAAAAAAUUAGAGUGCUCAAAGCAAGCUCUCACGCUUGAAUAUUCGUGUAUGGAAUAAUAGAAUAGGUUGUCGUUUCUAUUUUGUUGGUUUUCGGAAAUCGACAUAAUGAUUAAUAGGGACAGCCGGGGGCAUUUGUAUUCAAACGACAGAGGUGAAAUUCUUGGACCGUUUGAAGACAAACUACUGCGAAAGCAUUUGCCAAGAAUGUUUUCAUUAAUCAAGAACGAAAGUUAGAGGUUCGAAGGCGAUUAGAUACCGCCCUAGUUCUAACCAUAAACGAUGCCAGCUAGCGAUCUGCAGGCGUUUUACUUUACGACCUUGCAGGGAGCUUCCGGGAAACCAAAGCUUGUGGGUUCCAGGGGAAGUAUGGUUGCAAAGCUGAAACUUAAAGGAAUUGACGGAAGGGCACCACCAGGAGUGGAGCCUGUGGCUAAUUUGACUCAACACGGGAAAUCUCACCAGGCCCGGACACGAGAAGGAUUGACAGAUUGAUAGCUCUUUCUUGAUUUCGUGGGUGGUGGUGCAUGGCCGUUCUUAGUUGGUGGAGUGAUUUGUCUGGUUAAUUCCGAUAACGAACGAGACUCUGUCCUGCUAACUAGUGUCUGCUUCUCUUUUGAGCAGAUUAUUCUUCUUAGAGGGACUGGUAGCUCUUAGCUACACGAGAUUGAGCGAUAACAGGUCUGUGAUGCCCUUAGAUGUUCUGGGCCGCACACGCGCUACACUGAAUGGAUCGGCUAGUUUUUCCCUCUCCGAGAGGAGCGGGUAAACUGUUGAACCCCAUUCGUGGUAGGGAUCGGAGCUUGCAAUUGUUCUCCGUGAACCAGGAAUUCCCAGUAGGCGCAAGUCAUAAGCUUGCGUCGAUUACGUCCCUGCCCUUUGUACACACCGCCCGUC
rnacentral:rRNA from 1 species